CGCGUGGAAACCCAGUUAGAUUGGGACCGUUGGGUGCCUUCCAGGCCCAUUUGGUUUUUCUUCUUUUCCAAAAAAAACAUAACACCCCCCCGACCUCUCGAGAGUUCUACGAGGGCCGCUCCUCCUUCUCACUCUCUCCGUUGGUAUCCAUGGAGGCGACGUCGCUGGUGUAUUCUGCAGCAAUGGUGACUUUGGAAAAGUGCGAGCGAAAUGGCUAGGGAUGGAGAGAAGACCAGAAGGUAGCUACAAGCGGCGUCGAACAUGUUCAGAAGGAAACCUGAAUGCAGGGGAUGGCGAUGGCUCUCCAUUAAUCCAAUCGCUGCUCGUUCCUUCUCCUUCUCUCUCUCCGAAGUUCUUUCAUUCGCUCCACCGGACCUUGUGGUGAUGCCGUUAGGGUUCCCAGGGGUUGCGAUUGAAAUUCAUGGCGGUUCACAUUUGAAACCCUUGAUUGUUGAGGAGAAAGAAGAUGAAAGAUAUUGAGUCAACCUUGCACAAGAUGACAAUCACUGUCACCUUGAGAUCCUCAAGGUAUGCAUAAGACACCACUUUGAGAGCAACUGUUGGAAGCUAAAAAACCGACGGUACUUUGAAAUCUAAAACUGGCAGCAUCAAGGCCGAAAUCAGACGUGAAGUUAGCAUACGCCGUUUUAUGGAUUAUUUCGACAAUUCUUCGUAAUCUUGGCGUAACUUUCUCAUAAGAGCUCCGAUCGAGACGAUUCAAAAUUCUAGGAAAAGAUAAAAAAGAGCUAUACAUAUUUUGUGUUUUAAGAUUUGAGAGUUAUAAGCUGUAAGAGGGUCGAAAGUGGGCUUGAAAGAGGAGGAAAGUUCAUGUACCUUUGAAAAAAAAAAGAAAAAAAAAAUCAAAAAAUGAGAUGUGACCCAGCCAUGCAGCCGGGUCAUCUCAGAAGGGCAGUGUGCGCUGGGUACAUAGAAAGGAAAGACAAAAGAAUGGAAAGAAAAAAAAAAGAAAGGAAAGAAAAGCAAGGAAAGAAAGGACAAAAGGAAAGUAAGGAUUGAAAAAGGAAAAGAGGAGGGUUUCCUUGGGAGAGUGCCAUGUGCAAGAAGAGAGGAGGAGAGAGCAGUGUGCGCUGGGGGCUGAAUGGGGAGAGGCCGCACCAUAGGAGAAGGAGAGAAUUUAUUUUUUUUUGGAGACACACAAGGGAGGCCAAACCACAUCGAGUUUCUUGGAAAAAUUAUUUUUUGGGAGCUUUCUUGUGGUUUUCUUUUAGGGGUGCUGCGAAGAUACACACACAGCCAGCAAAGGAGAGUUGGAAGCACGCAAAAAUAAUAUCUUUUCAGAAUUGGAAGGCGGCGAACAACGGCGGUGUUCGGGGUGUUCGUGACGCACGACGGCGGUGCGGCGAGUGUUGAUCUUUCCCGUAUGCUCCAAAUUGAAGAAAAUAUGGUGAAAUUUAUUAUGUUGGUUUUAAUUUUCGGAAUGAACUAAAUUUUUGAAUUCUAAGAAAACGAUGUAGCCAGUUUCGAACUAUGCUUGCUCUUUGAUGCUAAUCUGAAGUAGUUUUCAUU